UAUAUAUAUAUAUAUAUAUAUAUAUAUAUAUAUAUAUAUAUAUAUAUAUAUAUAUAUAAGAAGUGUGGAAUUGAAUCGACAUGUAGGAGUAAAUGAAAAGACCAACUACCAAUCAAAAUCAAUAUUAACCCAAGAGGAAGGGUAUAUACGGGAAAAGGAAGAGUCGAUGGUGGAGGCAUUAUUGGUGAAACAGGUGAAAAAGUGGGAAAUAUGACGAUUGGAUCUGGAAGAGGGAGACCUUCACCGACACCGGUGAAGGCUGGAAUGGCAAAUGUAGCAAGAAUUUUCAGGCGAUUUUCAAGAUAUUAUUGCAUGCAACCAGACAAGAGAUGCAAUAACGAAAAUUGGCACCUUUCUUAUCAAUUCAAUAUUCAUAUCCACAUCUGGUAUGCUUCCUGGAUAUCUCUAAAUAAGCUGCAAUAACUCCCAGGGUUCAUCAUCUGCCAAAAUCAAAUACAAUUAGUAAUUGAACAGAUCCAUCACAACUAUCUAUCAUUAUUAGUGGAUCUUGGUUAAGAAAGCUUCAAAGUGGACAAAUUGAUUCACAACAGGUGUUUGAGCUAAGCAUUUGGCCAAGAUAAUGAAACAAAUCUAUUAUAUGAAUGUAAUACAUAUUUCCAAGAAAAAUCAAUUUAUCAUGAUUCUACUGUGUAUUAUAUUUAUUUUCUUGAUGAAUUUUGUGUAUUUUCAUUUAAAUUGAA